rnacentral:rRNA from 1 species
GAUGAACGCUGACAGAAUGCUUAACACAUGCAAGUCAACUUGAAUUUGGGUUUUUAACUUAGGUUUGGGUGGCGGACGGGUGAGUAACGCGUAAAGAACUUGCCUCACAGCUAGGGACAACAUUUGGAAACGAAUGCUAAUACCUAAUAUUAUGAUAAUAGGGCAUCCUAUAAUUAUGAAAGCUAUAAGCGCUGUGAGAGAGCUUUGCGUCCCAUUAGCUAGUUGGAGAGGUAACGGCUCACCAAGGCGAUGAUGGGUAGCCGGCCUGAGAGGGUGAUCGGCCACAAGGGGACUGAGACACGGCCCUUACUCCUACGGGAGGCAGCAGUGGGGAAUAUUGGACAAUGGACCAAGAGUCUGAUCCAGCAAUUCUGUGUGCACGAUGAAGUUUUUCGGAAUGUAAAGUGCUUUCAGUUGGGAAGAAGGAAAUGACGGUACCAACAGAAGAAGUGACGGCUAAAUACGUG